AUUGAACGCUGGCGGAAUGCUUUACACAUGCAAGUCGAACGGCAGCACGGGGGCAACCCUGGUGGCGAGUGGCGAACGGGUGAGUAAUACAUCGGAACGUGCCCAAUCGUGGGGGAUAACGUAGCGAAAGCUACGCUAAUACCGCAUACGAUCUACGGAUGAAAGCGGGGGAUCGCAAGACCUCGCGCGAAUGGAGCGGCCGAUGGCAGAUUAGGUAGUUGGUGGGGUAAAGGCUCACCAAGCCGACGAUCUGUAGCUGGUCUGAGAGGACGACCAGCCACACUGGGACUGAGACACGGCCCAGACUCCUACGGGAGGCAGCAGUGGGGAAUUUUGGGACAAUGGGCGCAAGCCUGAUCCAGCCAUUCCGCGUGAGUGAAGAAGGCCUCGGUUGUAAG
rnacentral:rRNA from 1 species